rnacentral:lncRNA from 1 species
CUUCUUUCUUUUUGUUUUUUGUUUUUGUUUUUCUUCUAAGAUGGAGUCUCACUUUGUCACCCAGGCUGAAGUGUGGGGACGAGAUCUUGACUCACCGCAACCUCUGCUGUUCAGAUGUGACUGAUAUAAGGAUUUUGAGAGACUAUCCUAAAUUAUCUGAGUGGGUUCUGAAUGUCAUCACAAGAGUCUUUAGAAGAUAGAAGGAUAAACACCAGAAAGAGGAGGAGGCAGUGAGCCCAUGAAGACAGAGAUUAGAGUGAUGUGGCCAUAAGUCAAGACGUUCCGCAAAAACUGGAAGUCAGCAGCAGAAUCUCUCCUGGAGCCUGUGGAGGGGAUGUGGCCCUGCUAGUACCUUGAUUUUAGCCCAGUGAAACUGACUUCACACUGCUGGCCUCCAGGAUGAGUCUCUCUCUGUUGCCCAGGCUGGAGUGCAGUGACGCAAUCUCGGUGCAUUGCAACCUCUGCCUCCCAGGUUCAAGUGAUUCUUCUGCCUCAGUCUCUAAUACAAAAUAUUACUCCUUAAAACUGAAGAUUUCACUCCUCCAUGACAACCUAUUUUUUCUGGACCUCACUUUUCUUCUCCUCCCCCGAAUCUGGCCCCACAAGAGCUGCACUCAAGAUAGCAGUGCUUUUUACACUGGAAACCGGAAGCAACCUGAAGGAUGCCUUUCAGAAGGAAAUGAAAGCGGUAUGAGACUUUAUGAGGCUAUUCAUAGGGAAGGUUGCUGAGAUUCUGAACUAAGACAGUAGAAGUGGGAGUAGAAGGCAGCAGCCAGGUCUGAGAGAUACCUUUGAAGUAGAAGCGAGAGUUUGGGUGACUCAGCUAGAGAAUGGCUUCUACCAGAGGGAGGAAUCAAUGAAGAUUCAGAUUUUAUCAUCUGACAACAAUGAAUAAGGAAUGAAGUACAGAUUUUGGGGGCUUAGUAAAUUCAACACUUUCGCAUUUUAAC